AUUGAACGCUGGCGGCAUGCUUUACACAUGCAAGUCGAACGGUAACGCGGGGGCAACCCUGGCGACGAGUGGCGAACGGGUGAGUAAUACAUCGGAACAUAUCCAGUAGCGGGGGAUAACCUAUCGAAAGAUGGACUAAUACCGCAUACGAUCUACGGAUGAAAGCAGGGGACCGCAAGGCCUUGCACUAUUGGAGUGGCCGAUGUCGGAUUAGCUAGUUGGUGAGGUAAAGGCUUACCAAGGCGACGAUCCGUAGCUGGUCUGAGAGGACGAUCAGCCACACUGGAACUGAGACACGGUCCAGACUCCUACGGGAGGCAGCAGUGGGGAAUUUUGGACAAUGGGCGCAAGCCUGAUCCAGCCAUGCCGCGUGAGUGAAGAAGGCCUUCGGGUUGUAAAGCUCUUUCGGUGAAGACGAAACGGUUCGUGCUAAUAACGCGGACUAAUGACGGUACUCACAGAAGAAGCACCGGCUAACUACGUGCCAGCAGCCGCGGUAAUACGUAGGGUGCAGGCGUUAAUCGGAAUUACUGGGCGUAAAGCGUGCGCAGGCGGUUUGCUAAGACAGGUGUGAAAUCCCCGGGCUUAACCUGGGAAUUGCGCUUGUAACUGGCAAGCUAGAGUGUGGCAGAGGGGGGUGGAAUUCCACGUGUAGCAGUGAAAUGCGUAGAUAUGUGGAGGAACACCGAUGGCGAAAGCAGCCCCCUGGGGUUAACACUGACGCUCAUGCACGAAAGCGUGGGGAGCAAACAGGAUUAGAUACCUGGGUAGUCCACGCCCUAAACUAUGUCAACUAGUUGUCGGGGAAGAAAUUCCUUGGUAACGAAGCUAACGCGUGAAGUUGACCGCCUGGGGAGUACGGCCGCAAGGUUAAAACUCAAAGGAAUUGACGGGGACCCGCACAAGCGGUGGAUUAUGUGGAUUAAUUCGAUGCAACGCGAAAAACCUUACCUACCCUUGACAUGCUAGGAAGCCCGCAGAGAUGUGGGUGUGCCCGAAAGGGAACCUAGACACAGGUGCUGCAUGGCUGUCGUCAGCUCGUGUCGUGAGAUGUUGGGUUAAGUCCCGCAACGAGCGCAACCCUUGCCAUUAGUUGCUACAUUCAGUUGGGCACUCUAAUGGGACCGCCGGUGACAAACCGGAGGAAGGUGGGGAUGACGUCAAGUCCUCAUGGCCCUUAUGGGUAGGGCUUCACACGUAAUACAAUGGUCGGUACAGAGGGCUGCCAACCCGCAAGGGGGAGCUAAUCCCAGAAAGCCGAUCGUAGUCCGGAUUGUAGUCUGCAACUCGACUGCAUGAAGCCGGAAUCGCUAGUAAUCGCGGAUCAGCAUGUCGCGGUGAAUACGUUCCCGGGUCUUGUACACACCGCCCGUCACACCAUGGGAGUGGGUUCCACCAGAAGUAGUUAGCCUAACCGCAAGGAGGGCGAUUACCACGGUGAGAUUCAUGACUGGGGUGAAGU
rnacentral:rRNA from 1 species